rnacentral:misc_RNA from 1 species
ACAGGGAUCAUCAAUAUACAAACAUGGUCAUUCCAGCCAGGUAUUUCGCUUUAUAAAAGAAAAGUACAGGUUUCGUGUGGUUUUGUGUUUAGCCAGAUCGGGCAGACCGGUAGCACAGCGGAUACCCGUAUGAUGCUGCGACCAAAUGUGCGCUGGAAAGUUACUAGCCGAUUGCAAUUCCGUGCUGAUGCAAACCUGACA